rnacentral:rRNA from 1 species
AGAGUUUGAUCCUGGCUCAGGAUGAACGCUAGCGACAGGCUUAACACAUGCAAGUCGAGGGGCAGCAUGAUUUGUAGCAAUACAGAUUGAUGGCGACCGGCGCACGGGUGAGUAACGCGUAUGCAACUUACCUAUCAGAGGGGGAUAGCCCGGCGAAAGUCGGAUUAAUACUCCAUAAAACAGGGGUUACGCAUGGGACUAUUUGUUAAAGAUUCAUCGCUGAUAGAUAGGCAUGCGUUCCAUUAGGCAGUUGGCGGGGUAACGGCCCACCAAACCGACGAUGGAUAGGGGUUCUGAGAGGAAGGUCCCCCACAUUGGUACUGAGACACGGACCAAACUCCUACGGGAGGCAGCAGUGAGGAAUAUUGGUCAAUGGACGCAAGUCUGAACCAGCCAUGCCGCGUGCAGGAUGACGGCUCUAUGAGUUGUAAACUGCUUUUGUACGAGGGUAAACGCAGAUACGUGUAUCUGUCUGAAAGUAUCGUACGAAUAAGGAUCGGCUAACUCCGUGCCAGCAGCCGCGGUAAUACGGAGGAUUCAAGCGUUAUCCGGAUUUAUUGGGUUUAAAGGGUGCGUAGGCGGUUUGAUAAGUUAGAGGUGAAAUUUCGGGGCUCAACCCUGAACGUGCCUCUAAUACUGUUGAGCUAGAGAGUAGUUGCGGUAGGCGGAAUGUAUGGUGUAGCGGUGAAAUGCUUAGAGAUCAUACAGAACACCGAUUGCGAAGGCAGCUUACCAAACUAUAUCUGACGUUGAGGCACGAAAGCGUGGGGAGCAAACAGGAUUAGAUACCCUGGUAGUCCACGCAGUAAACGAUGAUAACUCGUUGUCGGCGAUACACAGUCGGUGACUAAGCGAAAGCGAUAAGUUAUCCACCUGGGGAGUACGUUCGCAAGAAUGAAACUCAAAGGAAUUGACGGGGGCCCGCACAAGCGGAGGAACAUGUG